CACGCACCUUGGUCUCCAUCAAGUUCUCUCGCUAGUUUGAUUCUUGAAGGAACAAGAUUGGGUUUCAAAUGCGAAGAGUUGAAACUCCUGUAUUAACCGAUCCAUACUGCAAAAUGUACCCAAACUAGCCUAAACCUCGCUGAGCUCAUUGCAUGUACCGAUAUUAGUCGAGAAUUUUGAUGGUUUUGUUGCUAAAACCUUUAUGCCACUCCAUUUCUGUACCGAUGGUACAUGUUCUGUGGCAACUGAAAUGAGCAUGAGUGACCACCGUACUUUAGUUCCUUGGG
rnacentral:lncRNA from 1 species